rnacentral:rRNA from 1 species
UACGGGGGGAGCAAGCGUUGUUCGGAUUUACUGGGCGUAAAGGGCGCGUAGGCGGUCAGCACAAGUCAGUUGUGAAAUCUCCGGGCUUAACUCGGAAAGGUCAACUGAUACUGUGCGGCUAGAGUGCAGAAGGGGGCAACUGGAAUUCUCGGUGUAGCGGUGAAAUGCGUAGAUAUCGAGAGGAACACCUGCGGCGAAGGCGGGUUGCUGGGCUGACACUGACGCUGAUGCGCGAAAGCCAGGGGAGCGAACGGG